UUGAACGCUGGCGGCAGGCCUAACACAUGCAAGUCGAGCGGUAGCACAGAGAGCUUGCUCUCGGGUGACGAGCGGCGGACGGGUGAGUAAUGUCUGGGAAACUGCCUGAUGGAGGGGGAUAACUACUGGAAACGGUAGCUAAUACCGCAUAAUGUCGCAAGACCAAAGUGGGGGACCUUCGGGCCUCAUGCCAUCAGAUGUGCCCAGAUGGGAUUAGCUAGUAGGUGGGGUAACGGCUCACCUAGGCGACGAUCCCUAGCUGGUCUGAGAGGAUGACCAGCCACACUGGAACUGAGACACGGUCCAGACUCCUACGGGAGGCAGCAGUGGGGAAUAUUGCACAAUGGGCGCAAGCCUGAUGCAGCCAUGCCGCGUGUGUGAAGAAGGCCUUCGGGUUGUAAAGCACUUUCAGCGGGGAGGAAGGCGUUAAGGUUAAUAACCUUGGCGAUUGACGUUACCCGCAGAAGAAGCACCGGCUAACUCCGUGCCAGCAGCCGCGGUAAUACGGAGGGUGCAAGCGUUAAUCGGAAUUACUGGGCGUAAAGCGCACGCAGGCGGUCUGUCAAGUCGGAUGUGAAAUCCCCGGGCUCAACCUGGGGACUGCAUUCGAAACUGGCAGGCUAGAGUCUUGUAGAGGGGGGUAGAAUUCCAGGUGUAGCGGUGAAAUGCGUAGAGAUCUGGAGGAAUACCGGUGGCGAAGGCGGCCCCCUGGACAAAGACUGACGCUCAGGUGCGAAAGCGUGGGGAGCAAACAGGAUUAGAUACCCUGGUAGUCCACGCCGUAAACGAUGUCGAUUUGGAGGUUGUGCCCUUGAGGCGUGGCUUCCGGAGCUAACGCGUUAAAUCGACCGCCUGGGGAGUACGGCCGCAAGGUUAAAACUCAAAUGAAUUGACGGGGGCCCGCACAAGCGGUGGAGCAUGUGGUUUAAUUCGAUGCAACGCGAAGAACCUUACCUGGUCUUGACAUCCACAGAACUUUCCAGAGAUGGAUUGGUGCCUUCGGGAACUGUGAGACAGGUGCUGCAUGGCUGUCGUCAGCUCGUGUUGUGAAAUGUUGGGUUAAGUCCCGCAACGAGCGCAACCCUUAUCCUUUGUUGCCAGCGGUUCGGCCGGGAACUCAAAGGAGACUGCCAGUGAUAAACUGGAGGAAGGUGGGGAUGACGUCAAGUCAUCAUGGCCCUUACGACCAGGGCUACACACGUGCUACAAUGGCAUAUACAAAGAGAAGCGACCUCGCGAGAGCAAGCGGACCUCAUAAAGUAUGUCGUAGUCCGGAUUGGAGUCUGCAACUCGACUCCAUGAAGUCGGAAUCGCUAGUAAUCGUAGAUCAGAAUGCUACGGUGAAUACGUUCCCGGGCCUUGUACACACCGCCCGUCACACCAUGGGAGUGGGUUGCAAAAGAAGUAGGUAGCUUAACCUUCGGGAGGGCGCUUACCACUUUGUGAUUCAUGACUGGGGUG
rnacentral:rRNA from 1 species